UUUUUCGGAAGUUAGUGGCGGACGGGUGAGUAACGCGUGAGAAUCUAGCUCUAGGUUCGGGACAACCACUGGAAACGGUGGCUAAUACCGGAUGUGCCGUGAGGUGAAAGGUUAACUGCCUGGAGAAGAGUUCGCGUCUGAUUAGCUAGUUGGUGGUGUAAGGGACUACCAAGGCGACGAUCAGUAGCUGGUCUGAGAGGAUGAUCAGCCACACUGGAACUGAGACACGGUCCAGACUCCUACGGGAGGCAGCAGUGGGGAAUUUUCCGCAAUGGGCGAAAGCCUGACGGAGCAAUACCGCGUGAGGGAGGAAGGCUCUUGGGUUGUAAACCUCUUUUCUCAGGGAAUAAGUUCUGAAGGUACUUGAGGAAUCAGCAUCGGCUAACUCCGUGCCAGCAGCCGCGGUAAUACGGAGGAUGCAAGCGUUAUCCGGAAUGAUUGGGCGUAAAGCGUCCGUAGGUGGCAGUGUAUGUCUAUUGUUAAAGAGUUUGGCUCAACCAAAUAAGGGCGGUAGAAACUACACAGCUAGAGUGCGUUCGGGGCAGAGGGAAUUCCUGGUGUAGCGGUGAAAUGCGUAGAGAUCAGGAAGAACACCGGUGGCGAAAGCGCUCUGCUAGGCCGCAACUGACACUGAGGGACGAAAGCUAGGGGAGCGAAUGGGAUUAGAUACCCCAGUAGUCCUAGCCGUAAACGAUGGAUACUAGGCGUUGAGAGUAUCGACCCUCUCAGUGCCGUAGCUAACGCGUUAAGUAUCCCGCCUGGGGAGUACGCACGCAAGUGUGAAACUCAAAGGAAUUGACGGGGGCCCGCACAAGCGGUGGAGUAUGUGGUUUAAUUCGAUGCAACGCGAAGAACCUUACCAGGGCUUGACAUGUCUGGAAUCUCGGCGAAAGUUGAGAGUGCCUUCGGGAGCCAGAACACAGGUGGUGCAUGGCUGUCGUCAGCUCGUGUCGUGAGAUGUUGGGUUAAGUCCCGCAACGAGCGCAACCCUCGUACUUAGUUGCCAGCACUUCGGGUGGGCACUCUAAGGAGACUGCCGGUGACAAACCGGAGGAAGGUGGGGAUGACGUCAAGUCAGCAUGCCCCUUACGUCCUGGGCUACACACGUACUACAAUGCUACGGACAAAGGGCAGCGAGCCAGCGAUGGCAAGCAAAUCUCAUAAACCGUGGCUCAGUUCAGAUCGCAGGCUGCAACUCGCCUGCGUGAAGGAGGAAUCGCUAGUAAUUGCAGGUCAGCAUACUGCAGUGAAUUCGUUCCCGGGCCUUGUACACACCGCCCGUCACACCAUGGAAGCUGGUCACGCCCGAAGUCGUUACCCUAACUGUUCGCAGAGGGGGACGCCGAAGGUAGGACUGGUGACUGGGGUGAAGUCGUAACAAGGUAGCCGUACCGGAAGGUGUGGCUGGAUCACCUCCUUUUGAGGGAGACCCAAAUCAAAGUAAAAAGUAGAAAGUAAAAAGUAAAAAGAAAGAAUGAAGAAAAUCUUUUGACUUUUAAGUUUAAACUUUUGCCUUGAAUCAUCCCGAGGUCGGUCGUAGGGUAGUAAUAUAAGCUUUCAAACUAUAGAAUGGUUCGGAAUAUGGGCUAUUAGCUCAGGUGGUUAGAGCGCACCCCUGAUAAGGGUGAGGUCCCUGGUUCGAGUCCAGGAUGGCCCACCUGAAGCAAGUAAAAAGAGCAAAGUCAAAAGUCAAAAGAAAAAACCAGAUUUUUCAUUUGCCUUUGAACUUUUAACUUUUGCCUUGUGUUGGGGGGGUUUAGCUCAGUCGGUAGAGCGCCUGCUUUGCAAGCAGGAUGUCAGGAGUUCGAGUCUCCUAACCUCCACCUGUAAAAUGUCAAAACGGAUCUAAAAAGUUUAGCACCUGAAUCAAAAGAGUCAGUCUGCUGGAUUUGUAUCCAGUCAGAACCUUGAAAACUGCAUAGAGAAGCGAAUUGUAGGUAGUAAGUAGUUUUUAAUAGUUAAUUGGUAAAUGAAAGACCAACGAGCAAUUAAAAAUUACUAGUACAAACAGCAAUG
rnacentral:rRNA from 1 species